rnacentral:rRNA from 1 species
CCUACGGGAGGCAGCAGUAAGGAAUAUUGGUCAAUGGAGGCAACUCUGAACCAGCCAUGCCGCGUGCAGGAAGACAGCCCUCUGGGUCGUAAACUGCUUUUAUUCGGGAAUAAACCUACUUACGUGUAAGUAGCUGAAUUACCGAAGAAU